CUCUUUUCUACCAAGCAACUUCUGCUGAAAUUAAUCACAAGCACUGGCAGUAUAAUGACAAGCCUCAACAUAUUCAAACCCCGGAAAACUGAAGAAUAAAAACAGUACCAACAUACUACUUUAACAGGUGGUUUUCAAAUUCCACUUUAAAAACCCAGACACCAUGAUUUAUUUUGAAUGUUAAGGGCAUAAAUGGCCAAUAUUGAAUUCUUUUAUUCAGAUGGUAUCUGAAGGGAAGUAACUCAGCUACUGCAUUAACAGUAGACAGACAGUGUGGCCGUUUCCAGACCCAAACCUGAAGACAUUAGCAGUUGCCAACUUAUCAUCAGGGACACAUAUUCUUCCACCCCAGCUGCCAUGCUCUGGAGAAACAACAAUGUGGCUCCACAUGGUCCCCUGGUCACAGUCAAGUGUGACCCUACCCCUCACCACCAAGUUUGAAGCACUGGACUUCUGCAAGUAAAUACUCUUGCUUAUGGCUGAAUCCUCCAUUUCAAGUGAAGUUGCUUUUGUGGUUUUAUGGGGCUUUUUUAAAACCUUCUGUUAUAUGUACAAUAAAUUAAUGUA